rnacentral:rRNA from 1 species
AAAGAAACCAACAGGGAUUGCCCUAGUAACGGCGAGUGAAGCGGCAAUAGCUCAAAUUUGAAAUCUGGUCUCCUUUGGGGGCCCGAGUUGUAAUUUGCAGAGGGCGCUUUGGCGUUGACAGCGGUCUAAGUUCCUUGGAACAGGACGUCACAGAGGGUGAGAAUCCCGUACGUGGUCGCCUGUCUUCGCCGUGUAAAGCCCCUUCGACGAGUCGAGUUGUUUGGGAAUGCAGCUCUAAAUGGGAGGUAAAUUUCUUCUAAAGCUAAAUACUGGCCAGAGACCGAUAGCGCACAAGUAGAGUGAUCGAAAGAUGAAAAGCACUUUGGAAAGAGAGUCAAACAGCACGUGAAAUUGUUGAAAGGGAAGCGCUUGCAGCCAGACGUGCCCGUGGUGGUUCUCCUCCGCGGGCAGGCCAGCAUCAGUUCGGGCGGUCGGAUAAAGGCCUCUGUCACGUAUCUACCUUCGGGUUGACCUUAUAGGGGAGGCGUAAUGCGAUCAGCUCGGACUGAGGUCCGCGCAUCUGCUAGGAUGCUGGCGUAAUGGCUGUAAGCGGCCCGUCUUGAAACACGGACCAAGGAGUCUAACAUCUAUGCGAGUGUUUGGGUGUCAAGCCCGGGCGCGCAAUGAAAGUGAACGGAGGUGGGAACCCUUUCUUGGGGUGCACCAUCGACCGAUCCUGAAGUCUUCGGAUGGAUUUGAGUAAGAGCAUAGCUGUUGGGACCCGAAAGAUGGUGAACUAUGCUUGAAUAGGGUGAAGCCAGAGGAAACUCUGGUGGAGGCUCGCAGCGGUUCUGACGUGCAAAUCGAUCGUCAAAUUUGGGCAUA